AUGGAAAUCCAUAAAUGCAUUGUUAGAGGAUGCGCCAAUCAAUCGGACGCAAUUAUUCAUUACAGUUUACCAGAGGAACCCCAGAGACGCCAACGGUGGCUACAGUUUAUCAAUGGAAGCAACCCGGGAGAGCAAAUUCCAGAUGUUUCCCGUUUAUGUGGCGACCACUUUGCUGAAGAGUGCUUCACAGAACUUGAUCUCGGUUUCACCACGAGGUUAAUAUUAAAUCUUGACGCAAUCCCAUCGAUUUAUUCCUCUGAUAAAACAUCGGCUUAUCGGAAACACACCGUGUACACUGAGAGGGCGAAGGGGACUGGGAUGGUGGAAGGCAAAAUGGCCGGCAUCAAGGAGGAGCCAGUGGACAGGGAGUUGGAUUCGCAGGUGAAUCGCUGGAACAAUUUGUUGGGUUCACUCAGCAAGUCGUUUAGUUCAAUCAAAAAGGAAGAUGUUGGGGAGGAUGAGAGCAGUGCAGAGAGCUAUGACCAGAUUAGAGUGGUGAAAAUAGGAGACUCGCACACAGGAGAGAGGAAGGAUGAUGGAGGAGAGUAUGGGAUGGAAUACUCACACACUCACCCAUAUGAAGGAGAGGAUGGAGGCUAUGAUGCCAUGGUAACAGACCUUCACAGGAAAGAGAAAAUGAAUGUGACGGCGCGUGAGGUGGAGGGAGUGUUUGUGAUAGAAAACUCAAACCCAGAGGAGGAAUGUAGAGAAUAUGUGGUAGGGGAGGAGGUAUGGCAGAUGGAGGAAAGGGGAGAGAGCAGGACGGUAGAGAUGUGGGGGGAAAAGGGGAAACGGAGAAAGCUUCCGGGGCCGCAAUGGUGGAGAUAUGAGCAAGAGAGGAGGAAAACCCAGGAAGACGAAUGGAAGAUGAUUGCAGAGAGGGCGAGGGAGGAAGAGAGGGAGAGACAGAAAGGUCGGACUGUGGAGGGGAAAAAGAGGGUGGCAGGGUUCCGCUGCCCACAGUGCUGCAAAACCUUCCAGUACCGAAGCGAGUUACUGGAGCAUAAAACUAGCUGCUGCACUAAUGCGAAAUACGCCUGCCCAGUGCCACUCUGCCCCCAAAUCUACCAAUCCAAGGCUUCCCUGACGAAUCACGUUUGCUUCCACCAUGUGAAGGAGGACAACAAGGAGGAAAAGGACUUGGAUGCUAUCCGGAAAGCCAGAGGAGUCGGGGAGCAUCAGAAUAAAUACCAACCCAGCCAUAAGAAAUUCUUCUGCCCACUCUGCAAAACAUACUACAGAAACCAGAUAGUCCUCGACAAGCACUCUCGUAGUCACACCAGUCUCCACAAAGUGAUGUUGUGCUGCUCCUUCUGCUCUGUGGAGAUGCUGAAUAAAUGCACAAUGAAAAAGCACUACAACACGGAACACCCAGGCAGGGUCCCGCGCUGUGAGAUGUGUGAAAGAAACUUCUCCUCGAUCGACAUCUUUCUAACACAUCAGUUUAGACACGUGGCCGUGACUCCUUACUACUGCUAUGAGUGUCACAUCUACCAGCUCACCCAGAGGGGCCUCACUGUCCACCUGAAAAACCACGCUCUCAGACGCAACCAGAAGCAGCUAGACCAGCAGUCUGGGAAAAUCAACAAACCUGACAAUACAGGGAAUCAUAGUACAGCCCCUCUGAAGAAAAGUCCCUCCCCUCUACCAAACAACCAUGCACAUCUACAAGAUAACCACGCCCAUCUACAAGAGAUCAAAGAAGAAUUUAUGACCAAAUAA
ensembl:lncRNA